rnacentral:rRNA from 1 species
ACGAAGGGGGCUAGCGUUGUUCGGAAUCACUGGGCGUAAAGCGCACGUAGGCGGAUAUGUUAGUUAGGGGUGAAAUCCCGGGGCUCAACCUCGGAACUGCCUCUAAUACUGCAAAUCUAGAGUCCGAGAGAGGUUAGUGGAAUUCCUAGUGUAGAGGUGAAAUUCGUAGAUAUUAGGAAGAACACCAGUGGCGAAGGCGGCUAACUGGCUCGGUACUGACGCUGAGGUGCGAAAGCGUGGGGAGCAAACAGG